GCUCUGUAGAAGAGUCCUACAAUAGGACGAAACGGCCGUCCAGUGC
rfam:Schistosoma haematobium scaffold992_6, whole genome shotgun sequence.